UGUUAUUGUGAUAACAGAAGUUGCCUAUGGGAAUGUGUUUAAGCCAAUAAGGUAAACGAAAAGAAAGGACAUAAUAAUAAAGUACUGCGGAGGAAUUUUUCUCAAGCUGUGAGACGCCGAAGAAGAGUGAAUGCGAUUGAGAGGCUCAGAGAAUUGUGCUCUGUACAGGCAGUUUCUUUAGCCUCAGGCCCCUGCCUGCCCCUAUCGUCAGCAGAGAGAUGGAAACUUUGAUGACUAGUUCCACCCUACCUCCCCUUUAUGCAGAUGAAGAUGGCUCCAAGGAGAGUAGUGAUCUGGCUACAACUGGGCUAACUCACCCAGAGAUUUAUAGUAGUGGAGCCACAUCAUCUACCAACAACCCAGAAUUUGUGGAGGCUCUCUCCCAAGGUCAGUUGCUUCAGAAUGAGCCUUCAAACACAGCAGAAGGCAAUGAACAGAGGCGUGAAGAUGAGCAAAGAGGUAAACGAGGAGGGUGGUCCAAAGGAAGAAAGAGGAAGAAACCUCUUCGAGACAGCAAUGCACCCAAAUCCCCCCUUACAGGAUAUGUUCGGUUCAUGAAUGAGCGUCGAGAACAGCUUAGAGCAAAGAGACCAGAAGUCCCAUUUCCAGAAAUCACAAGAAUGUUAGGCAAUGAAUGGAGUAAACUGCCUCCUGAGGAAAAGCAGCGCUACCUUGAUGAAGCAGACAGAGAUAAGGAACGUUACAUGAAAGAACUGGAGCAGUAUCAGAAAACUGAGGCCUACAAGGUCUUCAGUAGGAAAACACAGGAUCGUCAGAAAGGCAAAUCACAAAGGCAAGAUGCAGCCAGACAGGCCACUCAUGAUCAUGAGAAAGAAACAGAGGUUAAGGAACGGUCUGUUUUUGACAUCCCUAUAUUUACAGAGGAAUUCCUGAACCACAGCAAAGCUCGGGAGGCAGAGCUUCGCCAGCUUCGCAAAUCCAAUAUGGAGUUUGAAGAGAGGAAUGCAGCCCUGCAGAAACAUGUGGAGAGCAUGCGCACAGCAGUGGAGAAGUUGGAGGUGGAUGUGAUUCAGGAGCGGAGCCGUAACACUGUCUUACAGCAGCACCUAGAGACCCUGCGGCAAGUGUUGACCAGCAGCUUUGCCAGCAUGCCCUUGCCUGGAAGUGGAGAGACACCUACAUUGGAUACCAUUGACUCAUAUAUGAACAGACUGCACAGUAUUAUUUUAGCUAAUCCCCAAGACAAUGAAAACUUCAUAGCUACAGUUCGAGAAGUUGUGAACAGGCUUGAUCGUUAAGGAAUGAUUUACAGUGGAAGAAUUACUCUACCUGGCAUCUUUCUCUUUGACUAACUUGUAACCUAGAAAAAAAAAUGGCUCUGGGAGGAAGCCUUGGGGAUGAUUUCAUAUUGAAAGGUCUUAGAGCUCCAAGAUGUGAGGAAUGAGAAGCCAUCUGUGGAAAAUUUGAACUGAGUACAGGCAGAGUACAGAUAACCCUGCUUGUGAAGGAACUGUCAGCU